CUUAACUCUGGAACUGCCAUCAAACUUUUUAGCUAGAGUAUGAUAGAGGAAAGCAGAAUUUCUAGUGUAGAGGUGAAAUUCGUAGAUAUUAGAAAGAAUACCAAUUGCGAAGGCAGCUUUCUGGAUCAUUACUGACGCUGAGGAACGAAAGCAUGGGUAGCGGAGAGGAUUAGAUACCCUCGUAGUCCAUGCCGUAAACGAUGUGUGUUAGACGUUGGAAAUUUAUUUUCAGUGUCGCAGCGAAAGCGUUAAACACACCGCCUGGGGAGUACGACCGCAAGGUUAAAACUCAAAUGAAUUGACGGGGACCCGCACAAGUAGUGGAGCAUGUGGUUUAAUUCGAAGAUACGCGCAGAACCUUACCAACACUUGACAUGUUCGUCGCGACUCUAAGAGAUUAGAGUUUUCGGUUCGGCCGGACGAAACACAGGUGCUGCAUGGCUGUCGUCAGCUCGUGUCGUGAGAUGUUGGGUUAAGUCCCGCAACGAGCGCAACCCUCACUUUUAGUUGCCAUCAUUUAGUUGGGCACUCUGAAAGAACUGCCAGUGAUAAGCUGGAGGAAGGUGGGGAUGACGUCAAGUCCUCAUGGCCCUUACGUGUUGGGCUACACACGUGCUACAAUGGCAUUUACAAUAGGAAGCAAGAUGGCGACAUCAAGCAAAUCCUAAAAAGAUGCCUCAGUUCGGAUUGUACUCUGCAACUCGAGUACAUGAAGCUGGAAUUACUAGUAAUCGCGGAUCAGCGCGCCGCGGUGAAUACGUUCCCGGGUCUUGUACACACCGCCCGUCACACCAUGGGAGUUGGUUCUACCUUAAGGCAAGGUUUUAAACCCUUGACUACGGUAUAGUCAGCGACUGGGGUGAAGUCGUAACAAGGUAGCCGUA
rnacentral:rRNA from 1 species